rnacentral:rRNA from 1 species
UACAGAGGUCUCAAGCGUUGUUCGGAUUCAUUGGGCGUAAAGGGUGCGUAGGCGGCGCGGUAAGUCGGGUGUGAAAUCUCGGAGCUUAACUCCGAAACUGCAUUCGAUACUGCCGUGCUUGAGGACUGGAGAGGAGACUGGAAUUUACGGUGUAGCGGUGAAAUGCGUAGAUAUCGUUUGGAACGCCAAUGGUGAAAACAGGUUGCUGGGGGUGUGCUGACGCUGAGACACGAAAGCCAGGGGAGCGAACGGG